rnacentral:ncRNA from 1 species
UGUCUCCUCCACCCUCCUCCUUUGGUGUGGAUUUAAACCCGAAACCCUCGUUUCGGGUUUUUUUUG